GACGAACCGAGCGAACGUUGUUCGGAAUCACUGGGCUUAAAGGGCGCGUAGGCGGGCUGUCAAGUUUGGGGUGAAAUCCCGCGGCUCAACCGUGGAACUGCCUCAGAUACUGACGGUCUCGAGGGAGGUAGGGGCGAGCGGAACUGAUGGUGGAGCGGUGAAAUGCGUUGAUAUCAUCAGGAACUCCGGUGGCGAAGGCGGCUCGCUGGACCUUUUCUGACGCUGAGGCGCGAAAGCUAGGGGAGCGAACGGG
rnacentral:rRNA from 1 species